rnacentral:lncRNA from 1 species
CAGGGUGACUUCUAUGCUUGCUACUACUAUCUUCUACACAUAGCCCCUAUAGUAGAAUUGGUUGGUUCUCAAGUUCCUGCUCCCACUAACCACCUCUGUCACAAUUUUGUUGUAGCUAUUCUGAAUAGCUGUUGUGGUCUGCCUAUGAUACUCGUGCCUGAGAAGAGCUACCCCAUUGAAUAUGCAUUGUUAUACACCAGGCAAGAACUAUCUGCACCGCACCACACACCGCCGACCACAGUGUGACGUCCAUGAUCAAAAUUAAAAAGUGUUCUUGGCUUCCAGCCUUGGCCAAAAACUGCGCCAGAACGCCAUGUGGUCUCUCAAGAGGCGGGAAGGGCCAGGGAGCACCACGACACGCCAUCUACAACUCAGUGGUGGUGGUGGGUGGCGUUGAUCUCGUAACCCUGACAAUGGCUCCAUGGAGGGUUAGGGAUUUUUCAGAGCGUGCUGUUCCACUGGAUGAGAUGUGUGUCUCCCUCCCGUGAGCCUGCGAUGAUGGGAUCGUGGCCAUCGUUGUCCAUGCCUAAUUGGCACAUGAAACUAAAUGAAGAAACACUCAGCAUAUUUCUUCAUGCAUAAUCAAAAUACUAUUGCAAUUAAAAUAUAUAAUGCAGUAACGAGUGUUUCAAUGUUCUUCUGUUUAUAGUCAGCGGGCAACAAGGUACAAGUAUGUUCUUCUUUCAUCAGUUGUUAUGUUUGUCUACCUCAGGCUUGUAGAAAUUGUAGAAAAUACGGUUUUGUUAGCCUGCACUACUACACUGAUCUUUUGAAAUGAUAAAUUUUAGCAAUGAUGUCAAGAGUACUAAAUUGUAGAGAAAAAAAAAGAUGAACACCACCAACUUUAGCUUCACCGGAAUUUCCUCAGUAAGUAGGAAAAAACAACGAAUCUCAGCCACUUUUCACAAACCAUGAAAAUAUGUAGUAACUUUAAUUUUUCAACCAAAAUAACACAACGGUGCAUUGAAAUGGAAAAAGAAGCACAUAAAAGACAUUUACCUCCCUCGUGUAGUAGAGAAACACCAUAAAUGAAUAGUCUCAACAAGCUUUGUGGAUGUUUCAGUCUUCGGAUGUAAUAUUCAGUUCUGACGUAAUAUUUACUUCAGGGAUGAAAUCCCCGUGCAAUAAGGUAUGUUGUGUACGCCGGCAACAAUGUUGUGUACGCCGGCAAUGUCACCGGAGAAAUAUCCAAUCUUGAGUAUCAAAAUAUUUUAUUUGUGAAAGAGGAAAAAGGUACUGUCUACCUCCCAGCUGGCUGCCCAAUUGGCUGAGCAUGUGUGUUGCAAAAAGUGAAUUCGUAUUGGCAUUCCUUGGAGAACCCAAUCUGCUUGAUACUCAUCAGGCCUGAAACUAUUAUGCCAAAAAAAAGCAAGUAUGAGAUCUAGGAUUCAGAGUACAGAUCUUUAGAGACAUAACUUUGUUUCACAAAAAAAGCUACCUGAACCAAG